UUCAGGAAGAUAUAGUAAUAUUUUGCUGAUUUGUUCUUCAGGAGCUCUCGCUCUCUCCCCCACAUGCAGUAAGGGGUCUGCAAUCCCGUGGCCUGGUUGGAACACACUUGAGUGGAAGUAGGAGGUGUGGAGUGGCUCCACUUACGAUGGGUGGUGUUACAUAACUGCAUGGAUGCAUGGUGUUAAACGUUAGGUGAUGGGGAGAAAAAACGGUUAACUGUUAAGCAUCGGGAUGGGCAAGAUGUAAGUUCUGCAUCUUAUGUAGGGGUUUGACAGACAGAUCAAAUGACAGAUGGCAUUAAACUAUGUUGCAGAGUUUUAUUCAGCCCUGCUUUGGCCAUGUGGUUGGGAGAAAAUUAGUGGAUGUGACAUACUUUCAGCAUUUUAUCAUGAAGCUUAUAUUAAAUAACACAAUACAUGUAAUACAUGUAAAAACGAAAUAAAUUAGAUAUUUAAGAGUUGCAGAGUUGUUGCUCUUUUGUAGAAACAUUGCCUUGGCUGAGGUGUAGCACAGCCUGCUAAACUUCUAUAAUUACAAACACUUAGCUGUGUACUUGCUACAUUCCAUUACAUUCAAAAUUCAGAAGAAAACGUACUGAUGCUCAUUCUUGUGUAAAAGUAAUCGCUAGAUAAUCAAGCAAUCUUGAAAUGAAACCAAAAAUUGUUGUUAAAUUCAAGGAAAAUGUUUAAUCAGGCAACACCUCAGCAGCCUCCAUGCCUGGGAAACACCAAUAGGCAAGAAAUUAAGACUGUCACAGAGAAGAGCAGUGGCUUCAAGCUGUGGUGCUGAGGGCAGCUGAAAUGAGUUUUCCCUCUCCAUGUAACCUGUACCCCCUCUUCAUGCCACGCUUAUGGACACCUCAGCAGACGACAAGGCUGAGUAGUCCAGGGCAGCUUUGGGUCAGUGCUGCUAGGACACAGUGCCCUGUCUGGGAGUCAGAUCCAAGACUUAUUACCAGAUGCCCUUUCCAAAGAGCUUGGGAAAAACAGCUCUCCCACAUGCUGGAAAGAUUGCGAACGUCCUGCGAUGCACACCGCCAGUGUACAAGCACACACUUUGUUUCCUGGCAACGUGCAAGCGUGGGGAGGAAUGCUGAAGUGCUCUUGUGUCGCAGAAGGCUGCGUCGGCAGACAAACACGACGAUUCACUAAGUAGCUGAACGCAGCGCUUCGGCAGAAGGGUAAAUCUCUUUGACCGACUAAAGCACAGAACCAAGAGAACUGCCAGCACUUCCUGUGACUCCCUUUUCUGCAAGCAGGUCGCUCGGUUUUUCAUUAAAGUGUCACAAAAUU